AGAGUUUGAUCCUGGCUCAGGACGAACGCUGGCGGCGUGCUUAACACAUGCAAGUCGAACGGUGAAGCGCUUUCCUUUUUGGUUGGUGUGGAUGAGUGGCGAACGGGUGAGUAACACGUGAGUAACCUGCCCCCUUCUUCUGGAUAACCGCAUGAAAGUGUGGCUAAUACGGGAUAUUCUGCGCCUGCUGCAUGGUGGGUGUGGGAAAGAUUGUGCCUUUGGGUGUUUUCGGUGGGGGAUGGGCUCGCGGCCUAUCAGCUUGUUGGUGGGGUGAUGGCCUACCAAGGCGGUGACGGGUAGCCGGCCUGAGAGGGUGGACGGUCACACUGGGACUGAGACACGGCCCAGACUCCUACGGGAGGCAGCAGUGGGGAAUAUUGCACAAUGGGCGGAAGCCUGAUGCAGCAACGCCGCGUGCGGGAUGACGGCCUUCGGGUUGUAAACCGCUUUCACCCAUGACGAAGCGUGAGUGACGGUAGUGGGGGAAGAAGCACCGGCCAACUACGUGCCAGCAGCCGCGGU
rnacentral:rRNA from 1 species